UUUUCAGUUUGUCGUCCUUGCGGUAUGUGUGACCCUGGCCGCUGCCGGAGGCUAUGGGGGCGCUCAGAGCCACGCCGACGUCGAAAUCUACAACGCCUGGGGAGGUGCUAAAUACGGUGUGAAAAACCAACACGCUGUAAACGUAGGCGGGCACGGCGGUGGAAAGGGUUACGGCGGAGGAUACAGCAAAUUUGCCGGCGGAAACGCACAGAUCUACGCCGAAGGACACGGCUCUGGUGGAUCCGGACACGGCUCUGGUGGAUCCGGAUACGGCGGUGGACACGGCGGAUACG